rnacentral:rRNA from 1 species
UUUUGGACAAUGGGGGCAACCCUGAUCCAGCCAUGCCGCGUGUGUGAAGAAGGCCUUCGGGUUGUAAAGCACUUUCGGCCGGAACGAAAUCGCGCGGGUGAAUAUCCCGCGUGGAUGACGGUACCGGAAGAAGAAGCACCCGCUAACUACGUGCCAGCAGCCGCGGUAAUACGUAGGGUGCGAGCGUUAAUCGGAAUUACUGGGCGUAAAGUGUGCGCAGGUGGCCGCGCAAGUCGAGUGUGAAAUCCCCGAGCUUAACUUGGGAAUUGCGCUCGAAACUACGUGGCUCGAGUGUGGCAGAGGAAGGUGGAAUUCCACGUGUAGCGGUGAAAUGCGUAGAUAUCUGGAGGAACACCGGUGGCGAAGGCGGCAUCCUGGACCGGCAUUGACGCUGAGGAGCGAAAGCCAGGGGAGCAAAC